UCCAGGAGACGCAUGGGGACGGCGGCGGUGGCGAGGCGUCUCGCGCGCACGGACACCCCCACCCUACGCCUGCUCGUGCGCGCUGCCCUGCGAGGUUUAGGCAUCGCGCCUGCUGCGCUCCCCUGUGGCGAUGAUGUGGCUUACUGCUGCCAUACGGCGCCUCAUCGAGGAGUAGAGCAGCUGCCCCAUGCUAGACAAGAUCCUCCAGAUCCUCUCCACCCAGCCGCCAUCAUUGCAGGAGGACUUUAACGAGUGGUCACCAAGAAGCUUCCCCAAAUCCUACAAGAGGCUCAGGUUAGACGAGCCGCUGACAAAGACACACCUCUAUUCUGAAUUUUUACAUGCGAAGAUGGACCAUCAGCUACGGAAUAUGUUGGCUAACCUCUCGCAGGUUGCUAACAAUUUUUUUCUUAUUGUCAUCUUGGUAAUUGACAUUGGUGGUAUUGUCUUUUAGUUCAACAGAAAGUUGUUCAAGUGAAAAUUCAGAGGAACAUGUGGAACAAAAGACAUGGUAUAAAAAGGAAAGGAAAGACUAAACAGUACAAUGAUGCAGGUUUGGAGCCGACCAAGGAAGUCACAGUUUAAGAGCUCGAGGAGGGGUGUGUGGAGGUUGCCGGCGCCAGUGGCUGCACUGCUGGUCUUCAUCGCCUGUUUCGGUCAGAUCCAGUCGGACCUAUCCUAUGGGUUCUCCACCGCUUCACUCUGCUUCAUGUGCAUCUGGGCGGAGAAGAUGACCCGACCUGCCUGGUCGCUCAACACUGCCUCCCUGCCCCUGUUGUUCGCCAGCCACACUCUCCCUUAUGCGAAUGUCCAUCAUCACAGAAUCUUAGCUGAUAGACGGUGCGCUUUUUGGCGGAAGCUGAGACAAAGAUUUCUAUUCACCAAAAAGAUAGAGCCGCCAUCAGCAAGCACUGACGAGUAGCACAGUCUCAGCCGAUGCAUCGACGAGCUGAGGCGGGCUUCCAAUAGAGAUCAGAAACAGGGAAUGGCCUUUUGAGCUGGUAGAGGGAUCACUAGACGUGGUGUUCAUGUUUGUGUUGGCUUACAUGCAGAAAUAAGGAGGAUAGUAAGACUCUUGGAGGUCAUGUCUCUGCCAUUCAAGGAUUUCGAUAUCUGAAUGUUAUGACAAUAUAUAGAUAAGGGAGAUAGCCCUCCGCGUCCUGGUGGCUACUGUAUGCUGCAGCGAAGGGCACACUUCAAUUACUGUGCAGGCAGAUGCGGUGAUCCCGGGUGUGCUUUGAAUAGAUAUCAAGGACGUCAUUACCCGAGCCGUUCCUAUGAUUGAACAUGCGACCAAGGAAUGAAAACUCUUCUCCAGAGAUCUUCAAAAUAGUACAAUAUCAGAUACACAUGCCUGAAUCUGGAUACACUCCACUGCUGAUGGUAAUACUUUCCAGUCACUCACAAACAAUAAGCUUCAGCAUACAAGGCAGAGUCCAAUGCUAUUGGAUUGGGGUGCUGCAUUGCCGCCAACACCAAACACAACCAGCCAUCAGAACGUCUCCUCCGCGACCCUCAAAAAAAAAUGUCUCCUCCGCUAGCAUCAGCGCCGAGCAAAGACAACAAGCUAUCAGGUGAGUUCAUCAUUAUCUCCUUCAACCUGCCAAGCCAUCAGGUGAGUUCAUCAUUAUCUCCUUCAACCUGCCAUGUAUAAAUUAAAAAAUAAUACAUUGAUUUUAAAAAACUUAACCUUAUUUCUGACGUUUGCAAAAAUUGGAUUAAAAAAUAUUGCAUAAUGGCACGUGGAGCAGGUUAUAUUUCAUUUUUUGCCCGGUGCUAUCUUAUUAUGUUAAUAUAAAUAUAUUUUCCUCGUGGCAAAGGCACGGGCACAUCUCUAUUUCUCUCCCUAAUCUCUCCUCUCUCCGUAACCACACAUUGCUUCUGGUCGUCCGUCGCCCUUUUUACAGAAAUGUCCCUGUAAUCCUUGGUAACUGAACCCGCAGUCCUUUGUAAGUUGAUCUGAGAAAACGCUUCGUUUUUACAGAAAACCCCCUGUAUUUUAUAGUGUUCAACCCGCGAUCCUUCCCCAAUUUCCCCUCUGCCCCGACUAAAAAAUCCCCUCUACGCCGCCCGGCGCAUGACCGCCCGAUUCAGCGCCUCCCGCUGGAGACCGCCCGCCUCCGACGAGGGCCACGCCGGUGAUCUCCCCUCAGCCCGCCUGCCCCCUCCUUUCAUCUCCGUUCUACUCCUUCUCUCUCGGCCCCAUCGAGCUCGCCUCGAUCCAUGGCCCCUCCUUAAACCUAGCUCCGGUCUCGGCCACGACCGGCCUCGCAGAUCUCGGCCGCCAUCCCCUACGCCUCCCCCCGCGUCUCCCUCACCUCGCCCGUGCAGCACCGUGGCUGCACGUCGCCUGCGCCAUCUGCUGCAGCCCCGCUCUAAACCACUUGCAUGCCAUGGGCAGCGGCCAUGGAGGACACACCUCCGCCUGCUCACUCGCCGCUGGCCAGCCAGUACCUCCACCAACAUCUCAUCCAUCUAGAUCAGUGGCCCUUUAAUUUUAGCGGAUUUUCUUCUUCUUUACAGCAUGCUAAUUAGCUAGGAUAUAGUCUUGAUUUCAAUUAUUGCAGAAUGGCAAUCUGCUUUAUGUUGGCUUUAUCAUCUCAGGAUAAUCCAGAUGUUCUCAUAUGCCUUGAGGAGUUGUCGGUGGAUUAUAUGCAGAGGCUACCAAGUGGUAGCUCCAAUGUUGCAAGAGGUCAGUAAUGGGUGCUUCUUCUGGGAUGGCUCACCUGAGAUACCAACGCUGAAGGAUCUGAAUUUUCAAGCUCAGCAAGGCCUGCAUGUUGCAGUCUGUGGGACGGCCGGCUCUGGAAAAUCAAGUUUGCUCUCUUGAAUGGUAUGGUUCCAAAGCUAUUAGGAGAGGCCAAGACUUGCGGAACAAUGCCAUAUGUCAGCCAGACUGCAUGGAUACAAAGCGACAAAAUUCAGGACAACAUACUGCUCUGCAAGACGAUGGAGAGGGAGAAGUAUGGCAGGGUCCUUGAGUGGUGUUCGCUAAAGAAAGACUUGGAGAUCAGAAAUCAUUGGAGAGUGAGUCUGCACUCUUAGUGCCUGGCAGAAGCAAAGGACUCGGAUAGCCCGAGCAUUGUAUCAGUAUGCUAACAUCUAUUUAUUCCAUGAUCCGUUCAACGCAGUUGACAUACAGGAUCCCAAUUUUUCAAGAUCGAUGGUUUCGUCGCGGUCGGCAGGAGAAAUAUCAUCAAUGGUACGGAAAAAGGCAGGUAGGCUGAGGCGGGCGUCCACACCGAGCAGCCGAUCCAGGAAACCAGCCCUGCGGCACCCCUCGUGCCAGUCCCCAUCUCUAUGUUUGUGUCAGGCCUAGCGCAAGGUAUUGGUAGAAGAGGAGGCCGGAAAGAGAAGCUGCAUGGUAGGAGGCUUUUGUUCUGAAGGCAAGUUGGAUGAUCUGCUGACAAAGAAACACCUCUAUUCUGAAUUUCUACUUGAAACAAUUGAUCAGAUCACAAAUGUACCUUGGUUAUGUCUCUCACUGUGUGCUGAACAAUGUUUUGCCUAUUUUCAUCUUGGUUGCUGACAUUGUUGGUGUUAUCUGUCAAAGAAAGUUGUUGAAGUGAAAGAUGAAGAUGAACCCGUAGAAGAGCUGAAAAAAGGACGUGGUAGAAAAAAGGAAGCGAAGCCUAAACAGUAUAAUGAUGUGAGUUCAGAUUUCUUAUGUUUUCUUCCCUGCUUCAUCAAUAUGAUAGCAUGGUUGUCUUCCAGAUUAUGCGAAUGUCUUUGGUUGUCAUAUACUGUGGAUGCAUUGUAGUUUGAUGUGUAGCCUGUAUUAACUGCUCAACAGACUUUCCUUGAAUAAUUAUACAUAGACUGUUCGAUCUCUUAUUGUUUAAAGAAAAUUCUAAUUAACUGCUCAACCCGUGACAGUACUGCCUCGCCCAGCGAGUUUUAGCUGAUUGAUCCUGCACAUCAGCCUAACUGCUACAAUAAAUGGACUUACAACAAUGAUUCUUUCUAUAUUGAAUUUCUAUAUUCGACCUCACCAUUGCUUAGUUUCCUUUCCUGAUGUCAAGACACAAAGAAUUUGAGAUCCAAUUUAUCUUUUUUAGUUUUUACACUAGAGUGCUUCAUUUAUAUGUAUUACUGUAGACACAUGGGAAUCCUCAAGGUGGCAGGCUUGUUCAGUUAAAUGACACCAAUCCACGGGUGCACCACAAGGCGGAAUCUCGGCGUUGACGGGAAAGAGGCUGUGGUGGAUCGGCGUUGCUGGGAAUAGGUUUGGUCGUGUCAGGUGUGGGCUUGCGGCAAGCCUCUCCUGCCUCCUGCCCUGGCAUUGGGUGGUAGACAGAAGAGGGGUAACUAAACAAAGAAUAUAUGAAAUUGCGAAAUGCCCUUUUCUCCCAUUGCAAAAUUAUUUUGUUUCUCCCGUUACGCACGGGCACACUGUUGCAAAAUGCAGGAAUAUUUUGGUUGUUCAAAUUCAUUCUUUGCUCCGUAAGUAAACCAAUUAUACAUGGGUUAGGUUAUGCCAUGCAAACUUGAUACCAUUGGGUUUGUGUUCAAAGUAAUUUAUUGUGAUUGUAAUUUGUAACUACGAACAUAUCCCCUACAUUUUGCCACUGGGUGGGUAUGUUCUGUAGAUCUGUAGAAAUCAGAGGAGCAAUAUCAUCUUGGUUCUGUAACAAGAAAUAACCGUCUGCCAACUGAAACUCUAAGAGCAGAGUGUGCAGGGUGUAAUAGUAAUCAAAUUAAAUACUAAACAUUAUAUGUGCCGAAUUCAUGUAUCAGUAAUUCUACUGGUGCUGGGAUGGUAAUGGAUAAUGGAUUGAUUAGAUUAGUAGCGCAUCUCGCAAAAAAAAAAAUCCGCAACUAACUUUCA